rnacentral:rRNA from 1 species
UACAGAGGGGGCUAGCGUUAUUCGGAAUUAUUGGGCGUAAAGGGCGCGUAGGCGGCCAUGCGUGUCUUCCGUGAAAUCCCUCGGCUUAACUGAGGACGUGCGGAAGAAACUGCAAGGCUCGAGUCCGGGAGAGGGGGGUGGAAUUCCCAGUGUAGCGGUGAAAUGCGUAGAUAUUGGGAAGAACACCCGUGGCUAAGGCGGCUCUCUAGUACGUGACUGACGCUGAGACGCGAAAGCGUGGGGAGCGAACAGG